CCCCUAGUAACGGCGAGUGAAGAGGGAAGAGCUCAAAUUUUAAAUCUGCCUUGUUCCAAGGUCGAGUUGUAAUUUGAAGAAGCGUUUUCUUGGGCUCGCGGCCGGUAGAAGUUCUUUGGAACAGGACAUCAUAGAGGGUGACAAUCCCGUCCGUGACCGGUCGUGCGUUCAUCUACGAUACGCUUUCAAAGAGUCGAGUUGUUUGGGAUUGCAGCUCCAAACGGGUGGUAAACAUCACCUAAGGCUAAAUAUUGGCGAGAGACCGAUAGCGAACAAGUACCGUGAGGGAAAGAUGAAAAGAACUUUGAAAAGAGAGUUAAACAGUACGUGAAAUUGUUGAAAGGGAAACGAUUGAAGUCAGUCGUGCUGGCGCGAAAUCAACCCUCUCGUCUUGAGAUCACAUGGCGCGACGAGCCUCAAAACCGUCACGAAGCGUGAACUCUUGACGAAAAGGUGCACUUUCGUGUCCGCUGGUUAACAUCAAUUUCGAACGUCAUAAAAAGGCUGGAGGGAUGUGGCUCCUUCGGGAGUGUUAUAACCUUUAGCGGAAUGUGGCGUUCGGGAUUGAGGAUUGCAACGAAUACCUUCAGGGCUGUUCCACCUGGCUUCUCAUUGGUAUCCUGGUGACGACAGCUUGCUGACGUCGUUAGGAUCAGCUUCUGAACAGGCUAGAGUGUGAGCAAAUUCGUUAAGGAUGUUAACGUAAUGGCUUUAAACGACC
rnacentral:rRNA from 1 species